UAAUGUAGUCUUACCGAGCAAGACACGCACACUGCUCCUCAGCAGCAAAACUACAUUCCCCAGAAUGCAAUUGUCGGCAACGUAAUGGCCACCGACUGGGAAUGUGCUUGAUUUCUGUUUUGUCGCUUUUCAGUGCGCUACCUAAGCUUCUUUCUUUACAACCGGUUUAUUGAUGUUGCUCACAAUGAAGCCUCUUCAGCUACUAGGGAGAAAUUGCAAAAGGCUCGUAGAUGUCCUGCCCCAUCAACUGGCCUUGCCAUUGUUCCUAUCUACAUCUUGUAGUUUCCUUAGCAGGAACAAAAAAGUAAAUGGUUAUGAAGAUGUCAGCCAGGAAAAAUAUGCAGAUUUAGUACGGACAGUAACCACCUCCAAGACCAGUUGUCAGACCCCAGAUAGAAUAUUUGAAGAAGACAGUUUCUUGUAUGGUAAAGUGCUAAGGUCCAAGGAUCCUUCACAAAAAUCUGAGCCAAAGGUCUCCCAGAAUCGUGUUCCAUUAAACAAUCCCAAUAAAGUCCUAUUGUCUAUGGAAAAGACAGAUCCUAAAAUCCCAGUGAAAAUAGGCCUCCCAGGCAAGAGUCAAAUGACCAAUAGUCGACUGCCCAGCGUCACCCGAAUCCUUCAGCAGACCAUGCCCAUGGAACAGGCAUUUUAUUUGGAAAGGUGGAAACAGAAAAUGAUCAUGGAACUAGGAGAAGAAGGCUUCAUAGCGUACACAGCAGCCAUGUUCUCCCAGGGAAAGCUCUUCCAUGCACAACUAGAGGAUCUGCUUUUGUCUGGGGAACAAUAUACCCCAAAACAAGAGGACACUAAAGAACUGGUUGGCUAUAUGAACAGCAUAGAACACGUGCUGUCUGAUGUGGUAGGAGUCAAGACUCUUGAGAGUGCCGUUGUUCAUUCGGAUCUACAGUACUUGGGCUUUCUAGACUGUGUAGCUAAAUAUCGAGGAAAGCUGUGUGUGAUAGACUGGAAAACCUCUGAAAAACAGAAACCGAGUUUAAAGAACACCUUUGACAAUCCUCUGCAGGUAGCCGCAUAUAUGGGAGCAGUAAAUCAUGACAGUAAUUAUAACUUUCAGGUUGACUGUGGACUGAUAGUUAUUGCCUAUAAAGAUGGGUCCCCCGCUCAUGCCCAUUUUAUGGACUCUGAAAUAUGUUUGCACUACUGGGACAAAUGGCUUCAACGACUUGAAGAAUACAAGGAAAAAAAGGAAAAGCAAUAAAUGUAUGGAAUAUACUAGCUGGAAGAAUGUUCCUCCUAUUAAAGAUGUACCGUAUUUUUCGCCCUAUAGGACGCACCGGCGUAUAAGACGCACCCAAUUUUUAACCCAAUAGUGGUCCGCAGAUUGAAGACCACUGUAUAGGAGGUAAUACUCACGUGUCCCCGCCGCUCCGGACCCGUCACCGCUGCCCUGGAUGUCGCUCCAUCGCUGUCGCCUUGUCCCUGUCGCUCUGGAACGUCUCUGCUGCCGACCGGGUAUCCUCUCUCUCCGUCGCCGCCAUCACGUCAUUACGCACGUACGCGACGACGUGAUGACGAGGAAGGAGAGUGCCAGCCAUACAGGGGAUCCCUGAACGGAGAAGACACCGAGGAGGCAGGUAAGGUCCCUCCCGGUGUCCUGUAAGCACUAACCCGGCUAUUCAGUCGGUGAAAUCGCGGCGGUCCCGAACAGCCGGGUUAGUGUCACUUUCCCUUCAGACGCGGCGGUCAGCUUUGAUCGCCACGUCUGAAGGGUUAAUACAGGGCAUCACCGCGAUCGGUGAUGUCCUGUAUUAGCCGCGGGUCCCGGCCGUUGAUGGCCGCAGGCACCGACCCGAUGGGUGUGUAUUCGCCGUAUAAGACGCACCGACUUUUCCCCCGACUUUUGGGGAAGAAAAAGUGCGUCUUAUACGGUGAAAAAUACGGUGAUCAGUAUUGUAGAGAAGAGAAGGUGGUGCCUGUAAUGCCAAUCAAUGGUUACAUUCAUUCCUGGAGGGCAGGGAUUUCCUACAGAUAGACUUUGGACUAUAUAUAUAUAUAUAUAUAUAUAUAUAUAUAUCUGAACUGUAUAGUAAUCCUAACUGUUAAGUGUUGGUAAUAUAUUUUUGUAUAUUAAAUUGACCAUGAUUUUAGGUGAAUACAAGCUUGUUUUUACUAUAUAAACCCAUUAUAGUCCUUUUUUUUUUUGUUAACCACCAUUACAAAAUAUUAAUAUAUAUUAUUGUUUAUGGUCUUUAAAAUCUAUUAUCUGAUGUCAUAGAAAUGCCAGAAGAUUGUAUCGGUGGUGAUCCAGAUACUGAAGGCUUGGAGUAAGGGGUACGGCACUUCUCUCAGCAAUGCAUGUUGUCCUUGGACACCUGAAGACAAAUCUUAUGUUUUUUUACCUUCUUAUUGAAUUGGCAAUUAAAAUAAAUAUUUCCCUUUUGAUGAAUGAGGAGAGAGGAAUAGUACAGGGGGGGCCAUUUAUAUGGAUACACCUUAAUAAAAUGGGAAUGGUUGGUGAUAUUCACUUCCUGUUUGUGUCCCUAAUUUUGGUUUUGGAAUUAGAUCCAGAUAACCUGUAACCUGGGGCCAAACAGAAAAUUAUAGGGUCAUUACCAUUCCGGACUUUUAUGGCAUAUCCAUAGGAUAUGUUUUGUCUAUUUUUAUUUCUAAAUUAACAAUGUUAGUCGUUGGCCAGUUUACAUACCACCAGGUCUUGGUCCUUAGACAAUCUGCGAUUGUGAUCAAUAGUCGACUGAAGUUCGUUGCAGCGCACCUCACCCCCCCGCGGCCACCAGAUCCAUAUCCUUCACUCCAUAGACUAAUGCAGUUAAAGGGGUAUUCCAGGAAAAAACUUUUUUUUAUAUAUAUCAACUGU